AGUAGUAGCAAAACUCAAGUGCAAGAAGCUGAGAGUCACAUGGCCCUGUUCAGCUUCUGCUUUCUUUAGCUUGCCCAUGGUGAUGUGAAGAUGAGAAGAAAUAGCAAGGCCCAACCAGUUCUUCAUCUGGAGACAGUUCAACGUUCUGCAAACCAGAUCUUCAGGAAUUUUACUGGGAUAAUUAUCCAAAUAAAUUGCAAGCAUUCUAUCCAAAUGGAGCUCUUUCUGAGAUGAAGAGAAUUCUCAAUGUCAAGAUUUGAACAAGAAGAGAAUGGAAUACACAAUAUGGACAUCCAUAAAAAUUCAUCAGAGAGCAUUUUACUACUGAGCUGCAAAGAUGACAAGAGCACCUCAAAGGCAGCAGCCUCAAGGAGCAGCCAUGGCCCCAGACUUGUCGCACGGAUGCAGAAAACUUAAUGGAGGAGGCUGAGGUCAGAAUGGGAAGAGUUUUUAAAAAAUAAAAAGGGGAGCUAA
rnacentral:lncRNA from 1 species